rnacentral:rRNA from 1 species
ACUCCUACGGGAGGCAGCAGUGGGGAAUCUUGGACAAUGGGCGCAAAGCCUGAUCCAGCCAUGCCGCGUGAGUGAUGAAGGCCUUAGGGUCGUAAAGCUCUUUCGCCAGGGAUGAUAAUGACAGUACCUGGUAAAGAAACCCCGGCUAACUCCGUGCCAGCAGCCGCGGUAAUACGGAGGGGGUUAGCGUUGUUCGGAAUUACUGGGGCGUAAAGCGCGCGUAGGCGGGGUUGUUAAGUUAGAGGUGAAAUCCCGGGGGCUCAACCCCGGAACUGCCUUUAAUACUGGCAACCUAGAGUUCGAGAGAGGUGAGUGGAAUUCCGAGUGUAGAGGUGAAAUUCGUAGAUAUUCGGAGGAACACCAGUGGCGAAGGCGGCUCACUGGCUCGAUACUGACGCUGAGGUGCGAAAGUGUGGGGAGCAAACAGGAUUAGAUACCCUGGUAGCUACGAG